rnacentral:tRNA from 1 species
GCCCCCGUACUCCAACCGGCAGAGAGAAGGGUCUUAAAAACCCCACAGUGUGGGUUCGAAUCCCACCGGGGGCACCA